CCAAAACGCUGUAAAUCUAACCUGUGAUGGUUUGGAGUUGUAACAGCUGGUGGAGCUUUGAUUAGCUGCCAGUGCUGCGUUACAGUGUUGAGUGGGUGAGUCUCAGUGUAAAUGAGCUGCAGCGGCUCUGUCUAAUUUCAGCGCCGCUGCUUUUCAUAACCUUGGCAAACUUGGCGAGCGAUGACUCCGCCGCGUAGAAAUCAGCCCACACCGACGGGAACCCGCGUUUCGGCCACGCUUCACCUGUUACCAGGUUGUCAUGGCAACCGUACCCAUCAAAGUUUUGGGAGAAGUGGAGCAAAAACGCCGAGUGCGAACACUUCUUCUUCCUCCUCUGAGCCAGAAACUCUUGAAUAGGCCGCACAGGUUUUUCCUGAGGACUCUCUGAGAUUGACUUGUCAAAUGUGUUCUUUAGGCGCCGUAACAUGCGUUCACAGCUACAAGGCCACAGACGAAGAGCAACCGACUGACGAAGGCGGUGAAGAAAGGAAACUUUCUGCACCUUCAGCAAACACCAGCGCCAGAAAUAACAGUUCUGUCUUCAAUAAAUUACGAGUGUACACUAAAAGUGUGCAACAGAAAGCUCGUAUAGAGACAGAACAGGAGGAAGAGAGAAGCAUUUAAGCCACAGAUGAUAAAACCGCAUUUACUGCUCUGUUUUCACAGCAUCGAUUUGGCCUCGUCGCAGAAGCAGCAGGUGUUUAAUCUGUCUGGAUCCAUAUCUGAGAAAUUAUAAAGUGUCGCAUUAUGACUGCAGAGUGCUUAUGUCCACACCGGCGGCUUUUCCGCACUGUUUAAAUACAUUUACUUGGAGGUCGGUGCGAAGGUGAGCAUCCGAAAUGUCACUGACGAUCCCUCAGUGCACAAGAAAAUCUGUAAAACAACUUCAGUAAAUUAAAGUAAAUGUCAGAGCUGACGUUUACUUUUUCACUUUGA